UACGAAGGGGGCUAGCGUUGUUCGGAAUUACUGGGCGUAAAGCGCGCGCAGGCGGCUAUCCAAGUCAGUGGUGAAAGCCCGGAGCUCAACUCUGGAACUGCCAUUGAAACUGUUUAGCUUGAGGAUGAGAGAGGUGAGUGGAAUUCCCAGUGUAGAGGUGAAAUUCGUAGAUAUUGGGAAGAACACCAGUGGCGAAGGCGGCUCACUGGUCCGGUACUGACGCUGAGGUGCGAAAGCGUGGGGAGCAAACAGG
rnacentral:rRNA from 1 species